GUUAUCCGGUGGGAUUAGCUGCCUAACCUGCGGUUCUCCUACUGGGAACAAAUCCAGGUGACGUAAAAAAAAUUUUCCUCAGCCCAGAAAGAAGAUUAAAGCAUCUUUUCAGACUACCUUUGGAUAUGCUGACAUCUCGCCGGGAAAGCAGUUUCUUCCUGUUUCACCGAGGCAAUUUUUUUAUUCCAAUAUAGAAGACAUGGCACUUAUGUAGAAAAUGUAUUCGUUGAUGUUAUCAUAGGUGUAAGGUUCUGUUCUGUGUGUCGUGUCUUCUCUGUGUCUCCUUGAUUGUGUCAUUCCCUGCACCUGCCCUCAGCCACUCUUGUCUCGUUAAUGACUCUUGUCUCGUUAAUGUCUCAUGUCGUACACCUGUUUCCAUGUCGUACACCUGUCUUCCCCCCUAUAUAUUGGGCCACUCUUUCCCUUGUCUUUUGCUGGAUUGUUGUCUUUUUUCCGUCGUCCUGUGUUUCGUGAGUUUACCUGAUCCUGCCUGUUUCGACCCUGCCUGCCCUGAAUGAACCCUGAUUCUCUGCUUGUCCCUUUUUGGACUUUGUUGUGUUUUUUGUUGUAACCUGUUUUUUGCCCCAUUAAAGAGCACCUUUUUGUUAUUGAA